UAUAUUUGACAAUGGGCGAAAGCCUGAUGCAGCCAUGCCGCGUGUUUGAAGAAGGUCAUCUUAUUUUAAAGCACUUUAUGUUGGGAGGAAGGGGUUGAAGCUAAUACCUUCAAUCUUUGACGUUACCAACAGAUUAAGCACCGGCUAACUCUGUUCCAGCAGCCGCGUUAAAACAGAGGGUGCAAGCGUUAAUCGGAAUUAUUGGGCGUAAAGCGCGCGUAGGUGGUUCAGUAAGAUGGAAGUGAAAUCCCCGGGCUUAACCUGGGAACUGCUUUCAUAACUGCUGAGCUAGAGUACGGUAGAGGGUAGUGGAAUUUCCUGUGUAGCGGUGAAAUGCGUAGAUAUAGGAAGGAACACCAGUGGCGAAGGCGACUACCUGGACUGAUACUGACACUGAGGUGCGAAAGCGUGGGGAGCAAACAGG
rnacentral:rRNA from 1 species